rnacentral:tRNA from 1 species
GCGGGUGUGGUGAAAUUGGUAAACACGCUAGACUUAGGAUCUAGUGCCGUGAGGUGUGAGAGUUCGAGUCUCUCCGCCUGUA